AAAUUGUGAAUUGAUUGUAGAUACUUACUCAUCAAAAAUUGCAAACGUGGUAGAUACAGGAAGUGUCUUGAGAGGAAAUGGUUUUCUGUCAGAUGUGUCUACAAUUAUGGCCGCUGUUUCAGGAUUAUACUGGACAUCUGAAGCAACUUGAGCCUGAUCGCUGGGUGGUCCAGGGCGAAAUUUUGGAGAACACAGUGGUGAGAGUUCAACAUUUGGUAUUAAAUAUCCACAAUUUGGAGUAUCGGCUUUUGGAGCUGCCAAUUCCUAUAGUGAAAAGUAACAGCUUGGAUCAUGUAUAUAAUUAAAUUAUCAAGAAUGCUUACAGCUUUGAUCCCACAGACAACAGUUGUACUGCCGAUCUUGAAUAUGGCUGAACUAUCUGCCUGAGUAAUAGCUCCUAUGUUGACGCUUGCAGGCCUGAAUCGAAGAAAUUCACGGCCAUCGGGUCUUAUGUCUUGUGCCUGUGAUGAACAGUUUGAAAGUUAUUAAUGAAAGCUUCAGUAUUGAGAUUUAGAAUAAAUUUAUUAGCAGCACGAGCAAGUGAAAUAUACUCCAAUGGCUUGAUAAAUAGAAGUAGUCAUUUUUCCCUCA